rnacentral:rRNA from 1 species
GUAGGGAAUAUUGCACAAUGGAGGAAACUCUGAUGCAGCGACGCCGCGUGAGUGAUGAAGGCCUUCGGGUCGUAAAACUCUGUGAUAAGGGAAGAUGAUGACGGUACCUUAUCAGAAAAGACCGGCUAACUUCGUGCCAGCAGCCGCGGUAAUACGAGGGGUCUAAGCGUUGUUCGGAAUCACUGGGCGUAAAGCGGGUGUAGGUGGCUAUGCAAGUUGGAUGUGAAAGCCCCGGACUCAACCCGGGAAGUGCAUCCAAAACUACGUAGCUUGAGUGCGGGAGAGAAAGGCAGAAUUCCUGGUGUAGUGGUGAAAUACGUAGAUAUCAGGAGGAACUCCGGUGGCGAAGGCGGCCUUUUGGCCCAGCACUGACACUCAGACCCGAAAGCGUGGGUAGCAAACAGGAUUAGAAACCCCGGUAGUCC